rnacentral:tRNA from 1 species
UUACUGGUAGGUUAUUUUAAACUGGCAAAUUGUGGUUUUGUUGAUUACACUUAUACUUCGUAUCAGUA